UACAGGGGGGGCAAGCGUUGUUCGGAAUUACUGGGCGUAAAGGGUUCGUAGGUGGCCACUUAAGUCAGACGUGAAAUCCCUCAGCUUAACUGGGGAACUGCGUCUGAUACUGAGUGGCUUGAGUGCAGGAGAGGAAUGCGGAAUUCCAGGUGUAGCGGUGAAAUGCGUAGAUAUCUGGAGGAACACCGGUGGCGAAGGCGGCAUUCUGGACUGUAACUGACGCUGAGGAGCGAAAGCUGGGGGAGCAAACAGG
rnacentral:rRNA from 1 species